rnacentral:tRNA from 1 species
GGCCCUGUAGUGUAGUGGUUAUCACUGCGGAUUCUGAUUCUUGUAGUAGAUUCCGCCAACCCAGGUUCGAGUCCUGGCAGGGCCU